GCGACGGCGUGCGGCGGCCAGCGCUGGCGGCUGGCAAGGUUAGAACAAAUCAGUACACACAAAUUCCUACCUCUUGUGCGUGAGAGCUGGAGAUGACGAUGCGACUGAUCUCGAGGGAAUGGGGAUGCGACGGAUCACGGAUGACGAGGGGAUGUGGCUGAUGAGGAUGUUGGGGUGCGGCGUUGGGGGUGUGGCUGAUGAGUACGAUUUUUAUAUCUUGGCCGAAUUUCUGUUGGCUGAAUUUCUGUUAACCGUGAGAGAAUUCAUAGGAGAGUUUGUUACAGAAUUUGAAAUGGUUAUCUCAAUAUUUGAAGAUUUAGGUAUCUGUGUUGAUUGUGUGAAUACUAGUGUGAAGUCAGUAUAUCAUUGACACUAGAUCCAUCAAAACUAUGGUGUCGUGAAUUGAUCCAGCAGGUGCACGAAUUGGGCCUGGAUUCCCUUGUUUGCAGUUGGGGUUGGGAGCUGGUGCUGGAUGUGGGAUAGGAAUUGGUUUUGGCUAUCUAUCUAUCUUCUAUCUAUCUAUCUAUCUAUUAAUUAUAAUAUAAAGACAGUCUAAAAAGGAGACGCCACGUUCAUUCUGGGGGUUAGAAAUUAUCACGUUAAUCGAAGAAAAAUAAUAAAAUAAAUAACUGUUGCAUUAUGAAAAAUCUAUAUCGAUGGUUGUGAUUUAAUAAGCUGAAAAUUUUGGUGCGCCGAGAUAAAGAUAAACAUAUUAACUAACUUAGCUCUAACUAACUCAUCACAUGUUCAGUACGUGAGACCUUCCUAGAGACUCACGCAUGCAUGUAAAUACCGGAUGCUUUUAUCUGUUUUUCUCUUUUUGUUUUUCAAGUCAAAGUUAUAUACCAGAUCACAUAGAUUUAGAUUUUAAUGGAUGAGAUUUAAUGAGAAUCCAUAUAAAAUAUUUUGAAAAUUUAAGAGUCGGAUGCUUCUUUCUAAGUUGAUAUGUAAGACAUUACCGUAUAAAUAGGCUAGGACUCGACAACGUGAAUUAUUUGUAUCUCUUAUUAGUCAAAUCAUGCUAUGUAUUACAGAGACGAUGGGCGCCGAUGGGUUCAAUAAUAUUAGUGCUGCUCGACCCCGUCGACGACGUAGGCGAGAUCAUUGUCCCCGCUGCCUCGCUGCCGCUGGAGACGAGGUGGCCGACGUUCCCGCUCCGCCAGCUGAGUCCCUACUGCCGGCCGUCGAGACCCUCCGCGCCGGAUUCAUACCGAGGCCGAACAACGUGCUGCGCUCCAGCCUCCCGGCCAAGUCCAGCACCAGCUUUAAGCAUAUAAGCUUGCACGAUUUCAGGAUCUAGGCGAUUGCGGAAUGGAUCAACAACACGCCCACCAGCACUAAAUGCUGAUUCUGAAGCAACAGUUGACACUUGAAUAGACAAAACAUCACAAGCAAGUCGAGAAAGAACAGGAAGCUCAUGUUGCUUGAGUGACCACCAAUGCAAAAUAUUGAAUGUUUUGUCUCUUGUAUCCCAUUCCACUAAUGGUUGUUCUUGGUACACAUGCAACUCAGUUUUAGUGGAUUUUCCAGAGGCAGUCCGGCGACGCAAGUAGUUCACAACAUCUUCAUCAAGAUCAUCAUCACUCUCCAUAUUCUUAUCCUCAUUGAUUAAAGAAUCCUUCUGCAAAUUUGUAGCCAAUCCAUUCUUUGAAGUUGAUGCACUAAACUUAUAAGCUUGGAAUAGCCGAUUAACAACAUCCAUGAAUUUUUUAAU